GACGAACGCUGGCGGCGUGCUUAACACAUGCAAGUCGAACGGAAAGGCCCUGCUUUUGUGGGGUGCUCGAGUGGCGAACGGGUGAGUAACACGUGAGUAACCUGCCCUUGACUUUGGGAUAACUUCAGGAAACUGGGGCUAAUACCGGAUAGGAGCUCCUGCUGCAUGGUGGGGGUUGGAAAGUUUCGGCGGUUGGGGAUUGACUCGCGGCUUAUCAGCUUGUUGGUGGGGUAGUGGCUUACCAAGGCUUUGACGGGUAGCCGGCCUGAGAGGGUGACCGGCCACAUUGGGACUGAGAUACGGCCCAGACUCCUACGGGAGGCAGCAGUGGGGAAUAUUGCACAAUGGGCGGAAGCCUGAUGCAGCAACGCCGCGUGCGGGAUGACGGCCUCCGGGUUGUAAACCGCUUUCGCCUGUGACGAAGCGUGAGUGACGGUAAUGGGUAAAGAAGCACCGGCUAACUACGUG
rnacentral:rRNA from 1 species